CCUACGGGUGGCAGCAGUGAGGAAUAUUGGUCAAUGGGCGCGAGCCUGAACCAGCCAAGUAGCGUGAAGGAUGACUGCCCUACGGGUUGUAAACUUCUUUUAUAAAGGAAUAAAGUGAGGCACGUGUGCCUGUUUGUAUGUACUUUAUGGAUAAGGCUCGGCUAACUCCGUGCCAGCAGCCGGGGUAAUACGGAGGAUCCGGGCGUUAUCCGGAUUUAUUGGGUUUAAAGGGGGCGUAGAUGGGUUGUUAAGUCAGUUGUGAAAGUUUGCGGCUCAACCGUAAAAUUGCAAUUGAUACUGGCAGCCUUGAGUACAGUGGAGGUAGGCGGAAUGCGUGGUGUAGCGGUGAAAUGCUUAGAUAUCACGAAGAACUCCGAUUGCGAAGGCAGCUUACUAAACUGCCACUGACAUUGAGGCUCGAAAGUGUGGGUAUCAAACAGGAUUAGAUACCCGAGUAGUC
rnacentral:rRNA from 1 species